GCUUUAUUAUUUUUUAACAAAAAAUUAGACGCUCUUUUUAAUAAAUGAAAAAAUUAACAAAAAUUAGACGCUCUUAAUGAAAAGAAAAACGCUCUUCUCUCCUCUUCUUUCCAUGCUUAUUCAUUCAACCAAAAUCAACCCCUCAAUAAACCUAGAAUAAACCCUUUAAUUUUUGCUCCUAGAAUUUAUUUUUUUCACAUGUCGAAUAGUAUGUUUAUUUAUUUACCAAAGAAGCAAGGUGGUAUCUUUUUUUUUUCCCUAUUGCAUUUUCAGGAAAUUACAAGGGAACUAAAAAUAACAUUCUGUAGCAUAAGCUGGUAGACUUUUCUUACACUGAUCAAUAAUAUUUUCAGACUCAAUAGGGUUGAAAAUUAUACAUUCGCCCAUCCAAAAGUCAAAAAAUGACUUAUACUACGAAAUAUUUUUCUUAAAUUCUGUCAUACUGAACCCACACAUAAUUUAUGGAUAAGCUGAUUCCACCCUUUGGACUUGCUAUAAAAAAAAUCAUAUUUGGAGGCAAAGUGGAACAAGAUAUAUAGGUAUAUAGUGAAGCCUAGGCGAGGAAAUUAAAAAUGUCUAUCAACAAGAACAAAGUUACAUGGCCUCUGUUAAUGCUGGUUUUCUUUGUACUCUGCAUGAAUUCGUGGUGUGAAUAUGGUGAAGCAUCAAGAAUCUUCUUAGACUUCUCUGCAAUUCCAGUGACGCAAAGGCUGGGCGGACUAGACCGCAGCAACCGCCGGAGCACCAGGGAGUCGCCGGGAGGGAGCUAUCCUGCUCCGGCAGCUAAUGUAAAUGACCAUGUACAUCACUAGCUACUGUUUGAUGGAUUAUGUAUGUAACUGGAUCAACAUAUAUAUGGUGACCUCUAUUUUGUUAUGGGCUUCCCACUUAUAUAAUAAGAAGACAUUGUUUGUCUGUGUUUAAGAUAUUUUUCUAUGAAAGCAAUGAGAAUAAAUUUUACUUA